UAUCCGUUGGUGAACCAGCGGAGGGAUCAUUACCGAGUGCAAACCCAUAACCCUUUGUGAACCUAUAUCUGUUGCUUCGGCGGCUCGCUCUCGGGCGAGCCCGCCGGUAAUAUCAGUAUCUCUGUUUGAACCCGACGAUACUUCUGAGUGUUCUUAGCGAACAGUUAAAACUUUUAACAACGGAUCUCUUGGCUCUA
rnacentral:misc_RNA from 1 species